UGGGGAAUAUUGCACAAUGGGCGCAAGCCUGAUGCAGCAACGCCGCGUGAACGAUGAAGGUCUUCGGAUCGUAAAGUUCUGUUGCAGGGGAAGAUAAUGACGGUACCCUGUGAGGAAGCCCCGGCUAACUACGUGCCAGCAGCCGCGGUAAUACGUAGGGGGCUAGCGUUAUCCGGAUUUACUGGGCGUAAAGGGUGCGUAGGUGGUCUUUCAAGUCGGUGGUUAAAGGCUACGGCUAAACCGUAGUUAGCCUCCGAAACUGGAAGACUUGAGUGCAGGAGAGGAAAGUGGAAUUCCCAGUGUAGCGGUGAAAUGCGUAGAUAUUGGGAGGAACACCAGUAGCGAAGGCGGCUUUCUGGACUGCAACUGACACUGAGGCACGAAAGCGUGGGUAGCAAACAGG
rnacentral:rRNA from 1 species